UUAAGUAUAGUAUAACUAAUACGUCCUGCUUACACCAGGAAGAUCAUUCUGUGUACUUAAU
rnacentral:tRNA from 1 species